CAUUGAUUACAACUGCUUUGUUCCUGGCUACCGUGGCAGUGGUGGGUCAGUAGUUAAAGGCUCUGGGUUACUGAUCAGAAGGUCAGUAGUUCAAGUCCCAGCACUGCCACAGCUGUGCAGUUGGAUAAAUGAGAUACAUUGAAAUUCUGAAUGAACUCUGGAGAGGAAACACACAGCCAUGACUUACUCGGCUGGAGGCAGAUGUCUGCAAAAUCAUAACAGCAGCUGUUACUGUUCACACACUGCUCAUCACAUCGACAGCCUGGAGUCUCAUAAUCAUACGGCGUAUAACAGCGGUUCCGACAUGUAUCUGGCACUGAGAGAGAGAGAGAGAGAGCACUAUUAUAGUCCAGUAGUGUAAUAAUACUAAAACGUGUGUAAUAGUUGUGUAAUAUAACUAUUAUAUAAUAUAACAUAAUGUAAUGUAUAAUAAAUGUAAUAAUGUAUAAUAUAUGUAAGAUAACAGAUCACAGGAUCAUCGACAUGCCUGCGGUUAAAUGAAAAUAACCGGUAGCACCGGUUUUAAUUUAUACAGCUUUCAGCUGUUAUAAUGGUACAAAUCAGGGCCGGCAAAUUCAUUUCUAAGUUAUAUUCUAAAUACAAGGGACAGUUAAACAAAAAUAAUGAUAAUAAACGGAUCUAACAUUAAUACUAGAACGCCAUUUACUUGUAUUACAUAAAAUAUGCUGUCGGGGCGUCGUAGCAAUUUUGGAUAUGUAUGCAAUAAUAUAUGCAUUUUAUAAUUAAAUAUAAUAUACUAAAAACUUGUAUGUCCUAAGACUGAUGUUGUACUGUAGAUAUACAGUAAGUUUAAACUGAAACUCUAAUUGAAACUCAUUACUAAUGACUGAAGUGUUCCUGUGCUGCUCCUCAGUAGUUAAUGAUGAUCUGGAACAGCAUGGUCAUUCAUCACUAAUUAGUAAUAACGGUAGUGUUUUGUUAUUUAUAAGUAUAUUAUUCAUGACCCUUCUGAAACUAUGUUCAUGGAGAAUAUUUGUUACUCAUCAAUACAUUACACCCUUUUUACUUGUUCGGUCAUUGAGGUCUCUUUAGUCCUAGACUGGCUGAAUAUAAACAAUACCCUUACCCUGUGCUUCUCGUCAGAGACAGUGUAAUACAUUUAAAUUUGAGAUAUGGAGGUAUUGGAAUAGGGUAAGGUAUAUAGAUAGUAGAUCUUCAGAAGGAAGGAAAUUGGAAAUGAAUUGCGAUGUGAUCAAAAAUGAAUCCGUAGCUAUUAUAAAAGAGAUAUCGUUAUCUAAUAGUUCUGCAGGAGAAAUGGAAGACUCAGUAAUUACUGAUUAGUUAAUAGUGAAGUCCUAGUAAGAUACUUACUUAUUUAGAAGUUCUCAGUAGUUAACAGAUUAACUGUUAGUGAAGAACUACUCAGUUUCUUUCUUAAAUAGAAAGCAGUCCAACUUGCUAUGUGUAUAGCAAUUACAUUAAAAUUUGUGUAGCCCUGACUUGAGGCUACAUCUGUUGUUUAUAGUUGGAGGUUGGUUUUGGUUCUAUUGCUGCUGUUUUGCACAAUAAUCUGUAAAUAUUGUGUAAAUACGUUUACAUAACCAGAAUAGAGGCCUAGUUCAUUACUUGACUGGUGUUUUGCAUAUCAUAAUAGUUUUCUAGAACUUUACAUUAUUUGGAUAAUUGGAUAAACAAAUCUGUUAAAUUUGAUUGUAACAGAACUGAAGGAACAAUGAUAUGUUUAAUAUUGCUUUUGUCUUGGUGUGUAAAUUUCAAUAAAAGUGUGAUCAUUUUA